GGACAACCCCCGUGACAAGCAGACACGCACACACACAAACACAGACAGACGCACACCGAGAAGCACGACGAAGGAUGGGCAAGUCGAACCCGCGACGCCGCAACAAGGCGUCCGCCAAGAACCGCCCAAAGGGUCACCAAGAUUGCACAGAGGUGGAAAAGGACGUCGCGGGCCACGUUGUCCUGGCACCGGCGCAGCCGCCCCAUACAUUCACCCCGCUCUGCGUGCAGCAACUGCGGGAGUCUCGAGAGUACGCUGUGCUGGAGGAUGCGUGCAGCGACAUUGCGUACUUUGCGCUGCAACUGCGGCACAACAACGACUUCUUGCGUGAAGCCGUGCCGCAGCGCCUCGCACAGCUGCUCAUCUUCUCCCCUCCCUAUGAGCCACCGCAGCUCAACACGAACGCAGAUGCAACGCCGGUGGUGGCAUCGCCAACGUUGUCGGCUGCAGCGACGGCGGGGGAGGAGGAGCCGCAACCGCACAAGGGCAUCCUGCACAUGCAGAUUGCGGCGGCAGAGGCGCUGCGCACUCUUGUUGUGAACAGUGAGCAGGACCGCGUCAUCGAUGCACUCACGAGCGCUGGCGCGGACGCGGCAUCAGGGGAUCGUUUCGCGGAAGGGCUGGCGCGCCUCGUGCAGGCGGGCUGGCAGCGUGUGCAGCAGGCCCGCCGACGCAUGGCGCCCGAGGAUUGGAUGGGCGUCAACGGUGAAGAAGGUGAAGAAGACGCUGGUAGUGGUGGUGGUGAUGAGGCCGCCGCGGAGGGUGAGGCCGAACCUGCUGCCGACGCGAGCGCGCGUCACCACCGCCGCCGUCAGUCCGGGUUCACGCGAAACUUGUAUUUCAUCCUCCUGCGCCACCUGGAGGAGGUGCUAGCGCUCGCCAGCGUGUGUGUGGAGGCGAGCGAGGUGUGCGCGCAGACGUUUUCCAGCACUUCGGCACUCCUGCUACUGCUCGACGUGCUGCGCGUAGCGAUCACGACGACGUGGGAGACGCUUCUGCACCCCUCCGCCGACUACUACGCCGAUGAAGCGCAGGUACCUGUGGCUAGCGAAACGGCGCUCGCCAUUCGUGCCUUCAAGCGGCGGGAGGCUGGCCUGCUCGCCUCGCUGGCGGUUAGCACAGCAGACUUGUUGCUCCUGCUCAGCCCCGAGAACCAGUCACUGGCGCAGGUGUUCACCGGAUCAAGCGAGGGCAACGGCGCAGCGGUGGCCGCCUCCUCAUCUUCGUUUCCAUCUGCAGCCGGCAGCAGCCCCGCCAUGACGGCAGAGCAGACGGCGUUCUUGAAUACUGUAGUCGACGCCGUCGACCUGCGUGCCUGGCUCGCGGAGAAGCCGGCAGUCGAAGUGCAGCUGCAGGAGCGCUUCUCCGACGCCUCCCUGCCCAGCUUCCUCGGUGCACAGCACACAGCUGUGGCAAUGGAGCGAGAGCGCGUCUUGCACGACCUUCUUCGCGCGACCCUCUCGAUCCAGGGCGUGCUCCUGCACAUUGCACCGGUUGCAGCGAACCUGCAGCGCGUCCUGCCGCUGCUAGAUGACACCCUGCACAAGGCGUCACUGCCAAUGCAUGUGUGGUGCGGUGUGCUGCCGCUUCUCAUGGGAACAUGCGAGCGCGCCGACGACGACGUGCGAGCGGCGGCAGCGACGCUGACCACGCACCGGCUGCGCAGCACUCAAGCGGCGGUCCGCCUACUGCAUGUGAUGGUGAACGCUGUGGGCGAGAAGAACGACACGGACCGGUACGAGGACGACGAAGCCGCGUUCGCCGCCAACCCACUGGCCAAGAUUCUGCAGUCAGGAGAGCUUCUCUACGCCUUCGGCCUCCUGCUAAAGGAUGUGCUCUGGAUGUCGCCGAACAGCGACUCCAGCGGUAACGCAGCCACCGUGGAGGGCCCCGCGCACCCGACGGCGACACGUGACGUCAUGGCUUGGCAGGCCCAGCAGCGCGCUCUGCGCGCUGAGGCCAGCUCGAACGCUGCGGCGACGGAGAUGCAGAUGGUGCUGCUCGCCACGGAAGUGAACGUGUGGGAGGUGGCAAGCACGCUGCUGCUGAUGCUCCCUGUGGCGAGCCUCGGCGAUCCUGCUCCGACGUGGCGGGCACUCUUGCAGGCCGUGCUGAGCCGCUAUCAGCUUCACCUCGACGCCGCGGCCAUGGAGGCGUCGGAGGGAGAGGGGCGCAGCGCACACGCGAACAUUCUGCAGCACUCCGCCCGCACGCAUCAGCUUCUCUGGAUGCAGCUUGAGUCGCUCGGGCAGAUGCUCUGGACGAUGCAGCGCAAGCAGAGCAAGGCGAGCGGUGGCAGCGCCGCGGUGACAGCCUGCAACCACGUCCAGGCGACAUCCGCGGAUGUCGACCUGCUCAUCCGUGUCUCCUGGGAGGCGUCGGCAAGCACGCUGCUGAGGCAGUCGUGCGUCGGCGCCGUGGGACUGCUGUGCGCGUCGAUGCAGCGUGAGGAGGCCGUGGCCACGGCGGCGCGCUUUGCCCUGGCCGUGGUCGCCAACGGCGGACCAGCGGCGACGUCCUACGGGAAGAAGCUCCUCGACGUGUACGCGCAACUUGUGCCAGGCAAAACGCCCACCUACCCCGCGGAGCGGCGGGUGUGGCUGCAGCAGCUUGCGCUGGCGGACGCCGCCGCCACGGUCCGCUGCGAAGCGGCGAACACCUUGAUAGAUCUCUUCCUCGACGAGCGCCACGACGCCGCCGUGUACUGGCCGCUGGGCGUACAAGAGAAGCUGAGCGACUUCAAGAGGCAGCUCGCCAUCUACGUGAAACGGCGUCAACAGCUGGAUAAGGAGACGAAGCGGCUCUACCACGUUUCGACGGAGACGCCAGAUGCAGAGCAGUGGUCGGAGGUGCUGGAGAACCUCUCCGGGUUUAUCGACUACAAGGCACACCACAAGUAGAGAAGCCUGUGCGCGUGUCGUCUGUGUAUGCCAGUCGCGGCGCCCCGAGUGAGCAGGGGGGAGGGGGUAUGCACUCGCCACCUCCUCCGCAGCCCUGUCUGUCCCCGUCCAUCGCCCCCUCUGUCAGCGGGCGUCGCCCUCUCUCCCCCUCCCCCCUCCUCCUCCUUCAGGACGACUCGGAAAGGCGCUUGCUAGCGCGCACGAACGCGAGUCGUUCUCGUCGCCGUCCGCAGCAGCGACAGCAGCAUCCGCGUGAGUGGCACACGGUACCCGCCGCACGCUGAUGAGAGGCGCCACGAAAGGAGAAAGGGGGGGGGGUGUCAAGAAUGCAUCGAAUAAGCGGAAGAUAAAGAACAUAACCAUAAUCGAGCAAGGCUAUCCAAAUACAGGGAGCUCGAACAACGCAGAAGCCGCAAUGCCCCUCCCCUACCCUCUCCUUCCUGUGAUGCCGCGUCCGCAUUCCGUGGUGGUUCGCGUGGUCGUCAGCAAUGGAUGCCGCGGUACUCAAGGUUCGCGCCACGGCCAGCCACGGUGACGCUCGAGGGAAACCACAGCAGCGGCACGCAAGACGAACAGGGGAGGGAUAAGGGGAUCCUGAAAAGGAAAAGGAACGCAGGAGAAGAGUAGGGGCUACGAGUCGGCCGAAGUCGCACGCAGCUUCGCGGCCUCCCGCCGUCCAGGCCGAGCACGUGUGGCUGUGAGGAAGCACGGGGGAGGGGCCUGAGGUGCACCACGCAGCGCAUCCCUUUCACCUCUGAGAAGAGAAAUCGUGAGGCACUGAGUGGGAGGGAGUCUGGUGUUGUACUCGUCCGACCGUGUCCUCCGCUCCCUGACACACAGCCGACUCUUGCCCCCUCCGCCACGCAUCUGCGCGCAGUCCACAUGUGUUGAGCCCUAGCCCCUCACCCUCGCUCCGUUGCCCUCCUCUCUGCUCAAACCCUCACACGGCACAUCCGCUCUCUUAUCCACCGCUCUAUGGCUGCGCCAG
rnacentral:misc_RNA from 1 species